AUGGCCCACCAAGCCGAUGAUCGGUACGGGUUGUGAGAGCAAGGGCCCGGAGAUGGAACUGAGACAAGGUUCCAGACCCUACGGGGUGCAGCAGGCGCGAAACCUCCGCAAUGUACGAAAGUGCGACGGGGGGAUCCCAAGCGUUAUGCUUUUUUGUAUGACUUUUCAUUAGUGUAAAAAGCUUUUAGAAUAAGAGCUGGGCAAGACCGGUGCCAGCCGCCGCGGUAACACCGGCAGCUCUAGUGGUAGCUGUUUUUAUUGGGCCUAAAGCGUUCGUAGCCGGUUUGAUAAGUCACUGGUGAAAUCCUGUAGCUCAACUGUGGGAAUUGCUGGUGAUACUGUUGAACUUGAGGUCGGGAGAGGUUAGCGGUACUCCCAGGGUAGAGGUGAAAUUCUGUAAUCCAGGGAGGACCGCCUGUUGCGAAGGCGUCUAACUGGAACGGUUCUGACGGUGAGGGACGAAAGUUAGGGGCGCGAACCGGAUUAGAUACCCGGGUAGUCCUAACUGUAAACGAUGCGGACUUGGUGUUGGGGUGGCUUUGAGCUGUUCCAGUGCCGAAGGGAAGCUGUUAAGUCCGCCGCCUGGGAAGUACGGUCGCAAGACUGAAACUUAA
rnacentral:rRNA from 1 species